rnacentral:rRNA from 1 species
GAUGAACGCUGGCGGCGUGCCUAACACAUGCAAGUCGAGCGAACAGACGAGGCUCUUGCUCCGCUGGCGUUGCCAGCGGACGGGUGAGUCACACGUGGACAACCUACCUAUUAGACUUGGAUAACUGCGGGAAACCGUAGCUAAUGCCGGGUAAUUUAUUGAGCCGCAUUGGUCAAUAGUGAAAUACGGUUUUGCGGUCACUUAUAGAUCGAUCAGCGCCGCAUUAGCUAAUUGGUAAAGUAACGGCUUAACAAGGCGACGAUGCGUAGCAGACCUCGGCGGGUGACCGGCCACACUGGAUGUGAGACCAGGUCCAGACUCCGACGGGGAGCAGACGUAGGGAAGCUGCCGCAAUGGGGGAUAGCUUAACAGGGGAACGCGGCGUGAGUGAUGACGGUGCUCGGAGGGUAAAGCUCUGUUGUUAGGAAAGACCUAAUGUGUAUGUAACAAUGCUCGUGUUGACGGUAGCUGUACAGAAAGCCACGGCUAACUACGUG